rnacentral:misc_RNA from 1 species
UUAACUAUUAUAUAGUACUCAGACGACACUAAUAUUCAGGGUUUGGGGUCCUCCGGCAGGCGCUCCCCCGCCGAAGCCGGGGCGCGGCUAGGCCACGGGGCCUGCCAAAGCAACAAACAUAGUAUUCAAGGGUGGGAGUUCUGAUCCCUUUUCAGGGUACAGAAAACACUGUAAUGAUCCUUCCGCAGGUUCACCUACGGAAA